CCUGGUUGAUCCUGCCAGUAGUCAUAUGCUUGUCUCAAAGACUAAGCCAUGCAGGUGCAAGUACAAGCUGAAACCGCGAAACCGCAAACUGCUCAUUAAACCAGCCUUGUUUCAUUGGAUCUGUAUACCCACUUACUUGGAUAACUGUGGUAAUUCUAGAGCUAAUACAUGCAUUACGUCUCUGACCGCAAGGGAAGAGCGCUUUUAUUAGUUUAAAACCGGUCGGGCCUCGGUCCGUUAACCCGUGUUGAAUCUGAAUAACUUUUUGCUGAGCGCACGGUCUCUGCACUGGCGCUGUGUCUUUCAAGUGUCUUACUUAUCAGCUCUCGAUUGUCGGUUAUGCGCCUACAUUGGCGGUAACGGGUAACGGGGAAUCAGGGUUCGAUUCCGGAGAGGGAGCCUGAGAAACGGCUACCACAUCUAAGGAAGGCAGCAGGCACGCAAAUUACCCACUCCCGGCACGGGGAGGUAGUGACGAAAAAUAACGAUGUGAGACUCAUCCGAGGCCUCGCAAUCGGAAUGAGUACACUUUAAAUCCUAUAACGAGGAUCAAUUGGAGGGCAAGUCUGGUGCCAGCAGCCGCGGUAAUUCCAGCUCCAAUAGCGUAUAUUAGUGUUGUUGCGGUUAAAAAGCUCGUAGUUGAGCUUCAGUUCUGGACUGACGUUUCACCGCCGAUGGUGCUUACUGUCACGCUCCGAACGGUUUGAACUAAAGCCGCCCGCCGGCUUGCACGGGGUGCUCUUCACCGAGUGUCCCGAGUGGCCGGCACAAUUACUUUGAAAAAAUUAGAGUGCUCAGAGCAGGCUAAGCGAAGGGCCUGAAUGGUGUUGUGCAUGGAAUAAUGGAAUAGGACCUCGGUUCUAUUUUGUUGGUUUUCGGAGCCUGAGGUAAUGACUAAUGGGGACAAGCGGGGGCAUUCGUAUUGCGACGCUAGAGGUGAAAUUCUUGGACCGUCGCAAGACGAACUACUGCGAAAGCAUUUGCCAAGGAUGUUUUCAUUAAUCAAGAACGAAAGUUAGAGGUUCGAAGGCGAUCAGAUACCGCCCUAGUUCUAACCAUAAACGAUGCCAACUAGCGAUCCGCCGGCGUUAAUCCCAUGACCCGGCGGGCAGCUUCCGGGAAACCAAAGUUUUUGGGUUCCGGGGGAAGUAUGGUUGCAAAGCUGAAACUUAAAGGAAUUGACGGAAGGGCACCACCAGGAGUGGAGCCUGCGGCUUAAUUUGACUCAACACGGGAAACCUCACCAGGCCCAGACACUGGAAGGACUGACAGAUUGAGAGCUCUUUCUCGAUUCGGUGGGUGGUGGUGCAUGGCCGUUCUUAGUUGGUGGAGUGAUUUGUCUGGUUAAUUCCGAUAACGAACGAGACUCUA
rnacentral:rRNA from 1 species